rnacentral:tRNA from 1 species
GGGAUAUUAGUUAAAUAAAUAACAUUUAAAUUGCAUUUAAAACUUAUAUUAUAUAUAUAUAUCUUA